rnacentral:rRNA from 1 species
UACGGAGGGGACUAGCGUUGUUCGGAAUUACUGGGCGUAAAGCGUGCGCAGGCGGCUUUGCAAGACAGAUGUGAAAUCCCCGGGCUUAACCUGGGAACUGCAUUUGUGACUGCAUGGCUAGAGUGCGGCAGAGGGAGAUGGAAUUCCGCGUGUAGCAGUGAAAUGCGUAGAGAUCAGGAAGAACACCGGUGGCGAAGGCGCUCUGCUAGGCCGGUAACUGACACUGAGGGACGAAAGCUAGGGGAGCGAAUGGG